UUCAAUUUAAAAUUUUCAAAUAAUUUCUAAUUUCCAAUGUUUAAAAAUUAAGACAUUGAAAAUUUAAUGAAAAUUAAAAAUUAAAAAUUAAAAAUUUCGUGACGAGCGGUAGCGAGGCACGGGGCAUACCCGGGGAAGUAAAACAUUUCAGUACCCGGAGGAAAAGAAACUAAUAAGUAUUGCGUAAGUAGCGGCGAGCGAAAGCGCAGAAGCCCAAACUGAACACUGAACUUAAAUUUCAAAAAAGGUGAGACCUUGAAAAUUUUCCAAGGUCUCACCUUAGGAUUGAAAUUUAAGUUCAGUGUUCAGGGUUGUAAGACGUAAGUGUUAUGUUUACAUAAGGAAAGUUACAAAAUUGUUUGUUAGAAGAAGCUUCUGGAAAGAAGCACCCCAGAGGGUAAUAGUCCCGUAUUUGAAAACAAAUAAUCUUUCUUGCUUAUGUUCUUGAGUACCUCGAGACACGAAAAGCUCGGGGGAAUCUGCCGGAACUAACCGGUAAGGCUAAAUAUAUUUCUAGAUCGAUAGUGAACUAGUACCGUGAGGGAAAGGUGAAAAGUAGCCCGGUGAGGGCGGUGAAAUAGACCUGAAACCAUAUGCCUACAAGGAGUCAGAGCGGACGCUUGCGUCCGUCAUGGCGUGCCUAUUGAAGAAUGAGCCAACGAGUUAAUGUAUGUGGCUGCCUAAGUGGAAUACCCACUGAGGCCUAGUGAAAGCGAGCGUGAAUAGCGCGAAAUAAUAGUCGUAUAUAUUAGACCCGAAGCCAAGUGAGCUUGCCAUGGGCAGGGUGAAGCCUCUCGAAGGAGAGGUGGAGGCCCGAACCGGUUGGUCGUGCGAUUCCUUCGGAUGACCUGUGGUAAGAAGUGAAAAGCUAAUCGAACUUGGUAAUAGCUGGUUCUCUCCGAAAGAGCUUUUGGGUUCGCGUCGCGUGUUCCUGUUGGGGGUAGAGCACUGGAAGGUUUAGACAGGGAGCAAUCUCGCUAAACCUAUCAAACUCCGAAUACCAGCAGUUAAAAAUGCGGCAGUUAGACGGUGGGGGCUAAGCUCCACUCGUCAAAAAGGAAACAGCCUAGAUCUCUAUUUAAGGUCCCUAAAUUUAUGCUAAGUGCGCUUAAGGCGGUGAAAUUUCUGUGACAAUGAGGAGGUUGGCUUAGAAGCAGCCACCCUUUAAAGAAAGCGUAACAGCUCACUCAUUCAGAGAUUUUGCGCCGAAGAUAAUCGGGGCUAAGCAUAAUACCGAAACUGAGGGUUUGUAAACUUUAUUUUCGCAAUUUUUAAGGGGAGACCUUUAAGAAAUUUCCCAAGGUCUCCCCUUGGGGCGAAAAUGAAGUUUGCAAGCGGUAGGAGAGUAUUCGCAUCCGCUGUGAAGGUAAAGGGGUAACCCAUGCUGGAGCGUUGCGAAGUAAGAAUGUUGGCACAAGUAACCACAACGCACCUGAAAACGGUGCGCGCCGAAAGACUAAGGUUUCCUUGGCGAUGACAAUCAGCCAAGGGUUAGUCGGGCCUAAGGGAAUGGCGAAAGCCGUACUCGAUGGACACACGGUUAAUAUUCCGUGACUUUUGUAUGUUGCGAUGGAGAGACGGAGUGCAGUAUGUAUUGCUCAUUAUUGGAUUUGAGUCGGUAUUGUAAGGGUGUCGCAUAGGUAAAUCCGUGCGACUCUGUUUAAUCAGAAAUCCAAGCAAUAUUGAAACCUGGAGAUUCGUCAAAGGGGAUUUUACAAAGCGCGCUUCCAAGAAAAACUUCUAAGCAUAAACAUAUAAAAACCGUACCGUAAACCGACACAGGUAGUCAGGUCGAGAAGACCAAGGCGAACGAGUGAGAUGUCCCCAAGGAACUCGGCAAAAAAGCGGCCGUAACUUCGGAAUAAGGCCUGCCCACAGUAAUGUGGGCUGCAACAAAAGUAUCCCUGGCGACUGUUUAUCAAAAACACAGCUCCCUGCGAACUCGUAAGAGGAUGUAUAGGGGGUGACGCCUGACCAAUGCCAGAAGGUUAAACAACGACGUUGUGUGAAUCGUAAGAUUUGUAUGGUGAUUGUUGUAAGCCCUGGUGAAUGUCGGCAAUAACUAUAGACACAAUUGUAGUUAUAAAAUCUAGCUAUAUGCGGGAAACUCUGAGUAUCCGUUUGCUACUCGCUAUAAAUCGAAAUAGCAGUAACAAUGCAACGGUGCAGACAAUCCGCAGGAAAGAUUCUGAUAAGCAACAAAAUAAAAAAUGAGUCAAAAUUAUUCGUGGCUUAAGUCAAUUCCUCAAAAUAUAGGAAAUUAUAUUGCUGGUUUUGUAGAUGGAGAAGGAAGCUUCAAUGUCUCAUUACGAAAAAGGGAAGAUCAUUCUCUUGGUUGGCAAGUGAUAUUGACUUUAAAUGUUGCUCAGCGCGACAAAACGGUCCUUGCUCUUAUGAAGCAUCAUCUAGGAUGUGGAAGAUUACAAGAACGUAAAGAUGGGGUUUGGUAUUAUGUAAUACAAAAUUCUGUCAUAAUUGAAAAAAGAAUAAUACCUUUUUUCAAAAAAUACCCCUUUCUUUCUUCAAAUAAAAAGAAAAAUUUCUCAAUUUUUUCUCAAAUUACAAAUAUGAUCUUCAAAAAAGAGCAUUUAAGUAAUAAAGGAAUGUUAAAAAUAAUAGAAUUGAGAGAAAAAUUAAAUGAAGGAAAAGGAAGAACAAGAAAAUAUAAUUUAAAAGAUUAUAAGAAUUCUUUAUCAGAAAAUCCUCAGAGACUAUACGCUAGACCGAAACCGAGAAAUCGGAAUUGGAAGAUAUAGUCCGAUCUCAUUGGCGACAAUGAGGAUUCUAGUGCUACUGCUAGAUAAUAAAUAUGGAUGAAUUGUCCUAAGGUAGCGAAAUUCCUUGUCUGGUAAUUGAAUUGCCAGCUUUGACGGUGACGUCAAUGAAAAAUUCGGCUAAUAACGGUGAAGUCUUAACCCGGAAUCUUAUUUCAAGGAUAAGGUGUUAAUGGAAAGAUAAUAUCGUGGGAACUCUAUAGUAUAU
rnacentral:rRNA from 1 species